CACUCCCUGGGUUCUCUCCAUCCGCACCCAGGAGCAUCGCAUCAGAAGAGCAGAAAAACUGGUCCCCGGGUCAGUGACAAAUUUUGCAGAAAUGCACACCUUGGGACUCCAUGGGUCUGCACUGCUGUGCCAGGUGUGAAGUUAGUGACCCACCAGAUUGAUGUGGGAUGUGAAACACAAGAGCAGUCAAGAACAACAUUCCUAGAAUGAACAUGUUUACACAUGGGGAGGAAUGUUUGUCCAGCCAGCAGGUAAACUUCCUGUUUCCUUCUGGGCUGGGACAGACUUCCUCUGCAUGUGACUAGAGGUGGGCGUGGCCUCACCUGUGCAGGUAACAACAAAAGCACAGGGCAGGGCAACCAUCUCUCUUUCACUACAUGCAUCGAAGAAACAACAUGCUUAGCCAAAGAUGCUUCCAGCCAAGAGAGGACAAAGGGACUGUCUCCUUAUGAGAUAGUUUCCAGGUGUAUGUUACUUUUCUAAGCUAAGUCUGCCUUCUGGGAUCCGAUUGUGAACAGAAUGAUAUGUGAGUAAACUCUUUUUAUACUUUCAUAGAAGACUAUGUCAUGUCUUAUCUUUUAUGAGGGAAUAAGGGGAAAAUACCAGAACAGUUAUUAUAUAUUUUUUAACAAGACAUGUAGUAAAUGUAUCCAGAUAAAAGAGAUACAUCAAUAAAAAGGGACUGUUAUACAGUAAAACUGAGAACUACGCAUUACACAAGUACGGAAAGACAAGAAAACAGACAAUAUAUCCUCUCCUGCAUCCCUGAACAUUCCCACAAUUGAUCGAGUGCACUCUUUUGUACAAGUCAAACUGCCCAUGGCGAGUGUGUUCCAACAGUUUAUGCGAACCUUUGAUGAUAUGACAUGCAAUUCCAUCUCAAUCCAAGAUCUUCCAUGUGUUCUAAAGCCAAGGUUUUAGCUCUUAUCCUGAUCUGGAGAGUCAGUGCAACUUGAAAGCCUGUCAGCUAGAAACCACUUGAUUUGCAAUCAUCACCACUCUAACAUUCUUUAAUUUGAAAUGUGUCUGCAGAACACCACUUAGAUGUCUUACAGUCUUCUUCCAGCUAAUACCAGUCCGACAGUCGCUAUAGAGGCUUAAUAUGACAUAAUGACGCAUCCAUUUCCCAUGCUUUGUGUGGGAGGCCUGUCUUUGCAUACAUUGACAACUCGCUUACACAGAGUUGGAAUGACUGUAAUCAGGCAAUCAUAUCCUGCUGCAGUCACUGUAACAUUCCAACAAUCUGCUCGUAUUCACUCUUAUGUGGACAAGUCAAAGCCCUUAUAGGGUCCUGUGUAGGUUCCAACAGUAUGGAACUUUGAGAUAUGACAGGCCAACCAGAGAAUAUUGAGAAGCAAAACAGCUCGUAAGCCUGAUCUUUAUUGAACUGUUGCAACAGGAUGCUCCCCUCACACGCAGGAGAAGGAGGAGGACCCAGAACCCCGGUGUGCCCGCCCUUAUAUAGACAUUUUAAAUUGCCCCCCUGGAGUCCAAGACCACCCCCAGAAACAUCAAACAUACAUCACAGAAGGGGUGUAGCUCAAGACCAGCCCCCAGAUACAUCAUACCUACAUCACAGAAAAGGCGGUCUACAACAGAAAUCUGAGUGCGUUGUUUAUCUCCUGUCUGGCAGGUUACCUGUUAAUGGUUGGAUACCCUGGGGAGCCUGGCUAGUCUUUUGUAAUGAUAAAUACUUAGUUCCUGAGCCAGGUCACAGGCUCACCCUAUUCGUACACAGACAUACCCUAAAGACAGGAUUUGUGAUGGAAAAGACAAUGGGGAGGCUUUUCCAUUUUCCUUCGACCUUGCAGAGAAAACAUUUGGUCAGUUUGGGAGUCAAUAUGGUUUCAGGGCUGUUUUCCUGUGCUACUUCAGGCAUGUGGUUUAUAUAUUUAUGUACAUGUUUGCUUGGUACAUUUAUGAACAUUUAUUAUAUAUAGGUAAAGGUAAAGGUACCCCUGCCCGUACGGGCCAGUCAUGUCCGACUCUGGGGUUGCGUGCUCAUCUCGCUUAAGAGGCCAGGAGCCAGCGCUGUCCGCAGACACUUCCGGGUCACGUGGCCAGCGUGACGAAGCUGCUCUGGCGAGCCAGCACCAGCGCAGCACACGGAAACGCCAUUUACCUUCCUGCUAUAAAGCGGUACCUAUUUAUCUACUUGCACUUAGGGGUGCUUUUGAACUGCUAGGUGGGCAAGAGCUGGGACCGAACGACAGGAGCUCACCCCGCCGCGGGGAUUCGAACCGCCGACCAUACGAUUGGCAAGUCCUAGGCACUGAGGUUUUACCCACAGCGCCACCCGCGUCCCUUUAUUAUAUAUAUAUAUAUAAAACCUUAAAUUUUUUUAUUUCAUCACUAACUUCACAUCUGGUGCAGCAGUGCAGACCCAUGGAGUUCAGAGGUGUGCAUUUCAGCAAAAUUUGUCACUAAACCUUAAUUGUCGGGCACCAGCUUUUCUGCUCUUAGGAUUCCAGACUGUCAUUAUUUUCCCAUGGCAUACUGGAGAAUCAGGAAAGCCUGGAGGAGAGGAGACUGAGAGGAGAUAUGAUAGCCAUCUUCCCAUAUCUCAAGGGCUGUCACAUGGAAGAUGGAGAAGGCUUGUUUUCAGGCCCUGAGGGGGAUGGCGACUCCCUCAAUAUUGAGGGGGCCGAAACCCAACAAUAUUGAGGGGGCUGAAGCCCCUUCCACCCCCUAUGGAUUCCAGCAAAGUAUUGCCCAAAAACUGGCAUCUCCCAAAUAACUGACCUUUUUGUGAGAAGGAAGUAUCUAUCAUCCUGCAAACAAAUCAGAAUGAAUGUUCAGCAAGCAGGAAGCCUUCUUUAUGUUUGCAUCUGAUUUAUUGUUAUUUUCUUGGAGCAGAAUGUGGGGUAUUUCUUCAGAAUAGUUUUAUUUGAGGCUGUUGCAAACAGGUGUUCUGCAAUCCUGAAGAACCCACAGUUAGCCAGUUUGUGCUCUCUGUGCAAGCGCCUAUCUGAGAAUACCUGCAGUGUGUUCUGUUCCCUCGAGGGCCUCUUCCAAGCUGGUUAGGAGGAAUCGGGCACACGGGAAACUGAGAUGUCCAGCAGUCAUGACUCAUGGAGGCAAUGAAUAGCUCGGAAUCACCAGCUCAAAUAUUCCACUGGGAUUUGCUUCCAAAUAAAACCCUUUUCUGGCAUUGCAUCUCCUGCCACUGCUGCCUCUUCAGCCUCUAGAUGGCAGCAAUUGAUGCCACAAGGAUGCAAGAAGGAACCUCCUAAGGCCAAGGGCCUGCUGGAGCCUCCAUGGGGAGCUGGGAGCAAAACGUGCCAUUCAGGAGCACAAAGAGGGCUUGGGCAGUGCUUUGCAAUAUGGACAGACCCUCCAAGGCUCCCUAUUUUCCAGGGACAGUCCUGGAUUUACAGAAGCUGUCACAGUUUCUGAUUUAAUCCCAGAAUAUCCUGCUUUUCCAUCAUGGUGGGUGGCCAGUUAUAGCCCUCCCCUUCUCCAUGAAUUUGUCUAAAUUUGUCUGACCCGGGGGCCGGAUGCGGACCAAUCGCCUUCUAAAUCCAGCCUGCGGAUAGUCCGGGAAUCAGCCUGUUUUUACAUGAGCAGAAUGUGUCCUUUUAUUUAAAAUGCAUCUCUGGGUUAUUUGUGGGGCCUACCUGGGGACGCAGGUGGCGCUGUGGGUUAAACCACAGAGCCUAGGACUUGCUGAUCAGAAGGUCGGUGGUUUGAAUCCCCGCGACGGGGUGAGCUCCCAUUGCUCAGUCCCUGUUCCUGCCAACCUAGCAGUUCGAAAGCACGUCAAAAGUGCAAGUAGAUAAAUAGGUUCCAGCGGGAAGGUAAACGGCGUUUCUGUGCGCUGCUCUGGUUCUCCAGAAGUGGCUUAGUCCUGCUGGCCACAUGACCCGGAAGGUGUAUGCCGGCUCCCUUGGCCAAUAAAGCGAGAUGAGCGCCGCAACCCGAGUGUCGGCCAAAACUGGACCUAAUGGUCAGGGGUCCCUUUACCUUUACCUUUACCUGGUGUUUUUACAUGAGUAGAAUGUGUCCUUUUCUUUAAAAUGCAUCUCUGCGUUAUUUGUGAGGCAUAGGAAUUCGUUUGUGGGGUUUUUUUUCAAAAUAUAGUCUGGCCCCCCACAAGGUCUGAGGGACAGUGGACUGGCCCCCUGCUGAAAAAGUUUGCUGUCCCCUGAUAUAUAAGGGGUAAGAAAAAAAAUUCAGGUAUCAUGGUCCCAAGCUGUGUAGGAUUUUAUACGCCAAAACCAGCACUUUGAAUUUAGCCCAGUAGCUAAUUGGCAGCCCGUGCAAUUCUUCAAAAAGUGGGGUAAUAUACAGUAUAGACAAUACUCUGUCCCAGUGUAUGGGGUAUUUUGCACCAGCUACAGCUUCCAGACCAAUCUCAAGGGCAGUGCCACACAAAGCACACUGCAUAUAAAGGACAUUCACACUUCAAAAAUAUGACUUAAACAUCUUUUACUUCAUGCUUUUCUUAGGAGUAUCUCCUUCAACAACAGUGCUGGUGACAAAGUGUCCUUUGAUGAGAAGGGCGAAUUGUUAGCUGGAUUUGAUAUUAUCAGCUGGGUCACUUUCCCAAACAAAUCUUUCCUAAAAGUGAAAGUAGGAAGAAUGGAGGCUCAAGAACCACUGGACGGACAGAUGUCCAUCAGUAAGAGAAUGAUUACAUGGCACAACCAGUUGAACCAGGUAGGGUCAGACUGGAUAGUCUAGGGUACAAAGUACAAAGACCGGCCCCCUGCUGAAAAAGUUUGCUGACCCCUGAGACUCUAAUCCUCUUUUAAAGCCACCUAAGUUGGUGGACCUCACUGCCUCAUGUGGGAGCGAGUUCCACAAGUUAAUUCCUGCAAACUAGGAGCCAGCAAAGCUGCCGGUUCUUUUGACUGAUCUUGCCACUUCAUAGCAACAUGGAAUUGCAGAGUUGGAAGGGACCAUGAGGCGAUCAUCUACCCCUUCCUACGUGAGAAUAUUUUCCCCAACGUGGGCUUGAACCCAAGACCCUGAGAUUUAGAGUCUCCUGCUGCACCUACUGAACAACGAACAACCAUCCAAACUUCUCCUCUACCCUUUAAUUAGCCUCCAAAGUCUUAUAAAGCUCUACCAAAGAAAUUUCUAACUCACCUGCAUGCGCAAAGCCCUUGCCCAGUGAUUGCCCAGGUUCUGGAGGCCAAUAUUAUUUCGGUGAAGAGUUGGUGGUGAUGGAGGGUGGGGAGACUGGGGUGUUGCCUCUAUUUUUGUUUGCUAGUUUCUUUGUCCUCCAACUAUAGAGGUAGAUCAGGCCUCAGAACCUAAAUAAUAAAUCGAAAAGGACUUUAAUUUCUAGGAUUCUGAAGCUAUGCAAGAAUGGCUCUUUUUCUCAUCAGACAUCCAAUUUCCCCGUUUGCUUUUCUUCGAUUAUUUUGGACAUCCCAGGGAUAGGCAUAUUUCAGUGUUUGUACUUUUAUGUACUUUGCUUUGUAGAUCUCGGGGAAAGAAGUGAUUGAAAAUAUUUUGCUUUUGAUCAAAUGUUGCAAUUGUUUUCCAGAUUUUGAAAAAUACCUUCUUUGCACUACUGUGUCCAUGCCAAGCGACACUCAUUCUUGCAUUAGGGUGUCUAUGGAUUUAACCUCUCUAUGCCCACCAUGCUCAAAAGAUCUUUUGCAUGCGCUGCACUGGCCUUUGGGGCUCUUAUAUAUCUGAGACGCCCCUCAAAUUUUCUCCCACUAGUGACUGCUCUGUGUCUUCCUUAAAGUGACAGAUCCCAUUUGCAGCCCCUGUGAUCAUGACGACUUAGAAGCAACUCUCUGGCCUGCAAAUUGCCACGUCUGAGCAAAGUAAGGCAUUGUAUUUCCUGCUACAUACAAAAAAAAUAAAAAUUUGAUUUUUGGAUACUGAGAAAAUGCUUCCUUGAGAGAAAGUUUCUGAUCUGCAAGAAAGCAACACUGAUCUGGCAAAAAGCCCUAAAUUAUGCAUUAGAAUUUUGGGGUUGAAUUUUGCUACUUGACAUGCUUUUUAAAGCUCAGAUUUUAAUAAUUUAAUAGUGCUUCCAUAUUAUGUUAUGUUAAUUGGGGGAGGGGGUUGUUUUAAUCCUUCCUUGUGUGGAAAAUAUAGUUUACAGAGCUGCGUGGAAGUUGCCCAGGGUCGUUUGACCCUUUUUGAUAGUUCUCUUUUCUCCUUGAAAAACUACCCAAGGCAAUUUUAUUUAAGCUUUAAAAAUAACAUACAACUUUUACCUGGUGUACUUGCUUUUGUCACACUGGAGGUACAAGACAGGCAGGCAGGUGAUAUUCAUGGUGUUACUGAAACAUAUUUACAUGAAUUUUUAUCUGAGACUGACUAAUAUUUACGGAUGAUUCUGGGACAGCCGCAUCUCCCCACAUGCUUUGAGGAAGAUUUGCAUCUUUUAACAUACAAUUUUUUAAAAAAAAUUAACCUAGUCAUCUCAGUGAGGAACUUACGUGUUUGUACUCAACGGCUGAUAACUGAACUAGCUGGAAAAAACUGACCCAGGCAAAUGACAUCGCAGCAUUCUAUACUACAGCACUGUUGUUGUUCUUUAGUCGUUUAGUCGUGUCCUCCUCUUCGUGACCCCCUGGACCAGAGCACGCCAGGCACUCCUGUCUUCCACUGCCUCCCUCAUGCUGGUAGCUUCCAGAACACUGUCCCACCAUCUCGUCCUCUGUCGUCCCCUUCUCCUUGGGCCCUCCAUCUUUCCCAGCACCAGGGUCUUUUCCAGGGAGUCUUCUCUUCUCAUGUGGUGGCCAAAGUCUUGGAGCCUCAGCUUCAGGAUCUGUCCUUCCAGUGAGCACUCAGGGCUGAUUUCCUUCAGAAUGGAGAGGUUUGAUCUUCUUGCAGUCCAUGGGCCUCUCAAGAGUCUCCUCCAGCACCAGAAUUCAAAAGCAUCCAUUCUUCGGUGGAGGAACAAGGUAGAAGAUUAUAAAAUGAUGCCUGGCACAGAGGAAACAGACAGAGAAGCUUUCCUCAUCUUUAUGAAACACCGGAAUGUGUGGACAUCCAAUGAAGCCGAAUGCUGAAAGAUUAUGGGAAGAUAAAAGCAAGUACAGGGCAUAGUUAACCUGUGGAACUCCCUCCCACAGGAGGCAGCAAUGGCCACCCACUUGGAUGACUUUAAAAGAGGAUUGGACAAAUUCAUAGAGGAGGAGAGGCUCUCGAUGGCCACCAGCCAUGCUGCCUAUGCUCUGCCUCCACAGAUGAGGGCAGCAAUUGGGCAUUGCUCUGAUCUAGCAGGCUCCUCUAAUAUCCACCUGCCAUUCACUCUGGCGCCCCCUGCUGUUGGCCUCCCUGCCGCGCCCCACCUUGCGAGUCCCACUGGGCACCAGCAGCCACCCCUGGCGUGCCAGACUUGUGGCGCAUGGCGUCACGUUUCCCUUUUCCCUUCUGAUGGCGGCCUGGCGCUUUCCCCAAGGCGUUCUGGGCCUGCUGCAUUUUCUCAGGGAAAGACAGGCAUCUGCUCAGGGGACUGGCAAAUUCCCCAUCAUUCUUGAUUUGCAAAUGAAGGCAGCUGUUCCUCUAGCAGAGAGGCUGUUGCCAAUUAUUUAACUGGGAUAAUGAGGUGAUAAAUAUGUUUGGGAGGAGCAGGAGGGCAGGGAUUUCCCUGGCUUAGCCUGAAGAAUGGGAUUUCCUCUUGGUAAAUUUGGUCCUCUUUUGGUGUUCUCCCCGCCCCGCCCCCACUAUGGGUUGCAAGGGAGUCUAUUUUGGCUGGAUCCAAAAACCGAGAAGGAUCCAGCAACUGGGUCUAUAUAUGCAGCAUUGAUGGUGACAAGCAGCUCCCAAACACCAUCAAUUUUCUCCCCUUGCCUAAUAGCUGCAGAGAUUAGCCAGAUGUGCUGAAAUGGCUCUCUGAUGAUGGUGAACACCAACAGUGGGAAGAUGGAGGCUGAGGGGGGAGGGGGGAGGACCGACCAGCAACAUUUCUCUUCCUUUGCAGCAAUCCAGUAGGGACAGGCAUAAGGUUCUGCAAUUAGGGCUUAUCCCCAUCUCCGCUUACUCCAUUGUUUUCCGCCAGGGAAACCCGAUCUUUAGCACUGGAUCAGACUAAAUGGUGAAAGAGUUUUCUAUGGAUUGCUGUUUGUUCUGAUUUAGAGCUAAAGAGCCCCCCCACUCACUUUGACUUAGGGAACCCCCCUCACACCAGGAGGCAUUGCCUUCACGCUUCAUAAAAACAAGAUUCCAAGGAAUCUCCUGGACUUCCCUCCUCCCCUUUGUGGGUCCUAUUAUUAAUCAUUUCCUCCUGCAUCUUUUAUGAUAAUCCAAAUCUUUUACACCUCCAUUAUGUCCAAAAUUCACCAUUAAACGACAAGUGUUAUUCCAACCCUACUAACGAUUUUAACGGUUUACAAUGGUCUUUAACAUAAGUUUUAAAAUUUCCCCAUUCCUAAUUAAAAUUUUGGUCUUCCUGAUUCCUGAUUCUUCCGGUCAUUUUAGCCAUUUCGACACAGUCCAUCAACUUGAUCUGCCAUCCUUCUCUGGUCGGGACUUGAUCUUUUUCCCGUCUCUGGGCCAAUAACAUCCACGCAGUUGUGGUUGCAUACAUAAAUAGUCUUUUCUGCUCUUUUGGGAUUUCAGCACCUAGAAUUCCUAAAAGGAAAAUUUCAGGUUUUUAAGAAAAGGUUAUUUUAAACAUUUUUUCAACUCAUUAUAUAUCAUUUCCCCAAAUUCUUUUACUACCUUACAUUUCCACCACCUAUGAUAAAAGGUGCCUUCUUUUCUCCCCUAGUAUCCCCCUUAGUACUUCUCAAUCCUUCCUCAUAAGGCUUGGUUUCCGGAUUCUUGAACAUCUUGGUCACCUUCCUCUACACACAUUCCAGCUUGUCAAUAUCCUUCUUUAACUGUGCCCAGAAUUGGACACAGGACUCCAGGCUCUAAAAUCUCCUAGCUGCCCCUUUGCUUGCUGGUGGCCCCUGGAGCAGCACUUCUGCUAGUCUUGGGCCUUGAGAAUUGCAAUUCUCCCUCUCCUCCCAGCUAGUGGAAUUUCCUCCCAGACUCACUUUGGCUUGGGGGACCCCCUCUCCCACCAGGAGGCGUUGCUUUCAAGCUUUUAAAGUUUCUCUUCUCAGUCCCAUCGAACCUAGAAACUUGCUGGCUUGCUUCUUUUGGUACAUAGUGCAUCCAAAUUUAAGGGGAUUAAUCUGUCUUGCGUAGGUGUGUUGUCGUGUUUCGGGAAGGACUGGUCUGUGAGUUGUGUCUGGUUCCAUGGAGUUGGCUGAAUUUGACAACUGACAGGUAACAAAACUUCUGUUCUUCUAAACGGAGCUGGUCCUUUGAUUUUCAGCUGGCUGGUGGAUGCUGCUGACCUGCGUUCGAAACCCGUGCCUCACGUUGCCAAUUACGAGGCAGCUUUAUGGGCAGAGGCAGCCUAAUGAAAGGUAUCGUUGAGGCGUCAGGCUGGAUUGUUUAUGCUGCCAGAGGCUCGGCAGUGAAGCUUCUGCUAAGAAGGACUUCUGUGGCCACAUCCAAAGCAAGACCUUUGGAAGGAUGCGUCAGCCCAGAUAAUGAGGUGGAGAUGCCCUGGCAGCUUCUCCAGCCAGCUGAAAUAAAUGUUUCAACCGAAUGCACCAUCUGAGGCACCCCAGAUAUAUAUAUGAAACAUGGAAAAUGAUGGAAAAAGAUGGAAGUAUGGGUGCAAGGAGCUUGCGAACAUGUGGAAGACUUCUGUGGUUUGGGCAUGGGG
rnacentral:lncRNA from 1 species